CUUGCCAUGUUGGUCUAGCUCAGCUCUGCUCCCUUCAAAAUCCACCCCAGUGAUGGUAUAGUAUAGAAUGCAUUUUUUCCCAUAACCAAAUGUCCCAGAAAGGUCACAUAAAUCAACCUUAAAAGCAUAAUGUGACUCAGAAUGACAUUAUUAAUCAAGUUAAACAAGUUUCUGAUGGAUUUAUAAAAUGUUGCUCCUUUCAAACACAGCAGCUGUUAGACACCAAGUCAAUUAGCUUUAAAGGGCAAGUAAUCAGACUCAAAUAUCAUGUUGGCAUCAUCUGUGUGUUGAAAUCAGAAAGGAAAGUAUGAUUUCCUCCUUUCCGUCCAUACAGGAUAUCUCUAAUGUGGUUCUUGCCACUUUCCAUUGUGUAGCCAAAGAACAAGAUAAUGUGGUUGAGUCCAUAAUGGUUAAUUGAUCAAAAUUUUAGGGUUUAAAAAAAACUUAAAAAGUGAAAUCUUAGCCAUAAUAUAAAACUAUCGCUCUAUACUUCAACAGGAAACUAAAUAGACCGAUAAUUUAAAAAAAUAAAUUAUCAUUCUGCCAUUCAAAAGUGGGGUCAGUAAGAUUUUCUAAAAGAAGCAUCAUGUUCAUCAAGGUUGCAUAUAUUUGAAAAAAUUACAUUAAAAACAAUAAUAUUCUGAAAUAUUUUUUUAAAUAAUCCAAAAGAACUGUUUUCUAUUUUAAUAUAUUCUAUUUUAAAGGGGUCAUAUGAUGCGAUUUAAAUUUUUCCUUUCUCUUUGGAGUAUUAUAAGUUCUUGGUGCAUUAAGAAGAUCCAAAAGAAAUAUUCUUUAUAAAAGUUAAGACUUAAGGCCCGUUCACACCAAGGACGAUAACUAUAAAGAUAACAAUAAAGAUAUAGUUCUAAAAAUCUUUUCAGUAUUAAAGAACAGCAGAGUCCACACCACAACUAUAACGAUAAAGACAAAGAAAAACGAUAUCGUUUGAAUCACUUUCAAAACUUUUUUUUUUUCAGCUGAUGAACGAUAAAAAAUUGACAGCCAAUCAGAAUUCAUCCUGCUGUAACAAGCUCGAGAAUUUAAAACGGCAGACGAGCGUGCGCUUAGAAUAAACAGACGAUAUCAUUCGCUGGUGUGGACACUAAUAUCAUUAUCUUUAUAGUUAUCUUUAUAGUUAUCGUUAUAGUUAUCGUUCUUGGUGUGAAUGGGUCUUAAGAGUCAACCAUGCCUUCCAAAAAUGCUCAUUCUAAUACGCCCCCACAUGUCUGCGUAACAAUGUGGGAAGAUUUGCAUAACGUCGCCC
rnacentral:lncRNA from 1 species